GUUCGUUUAUUAGAAAUUUAAUAAGUAGAAAUAGCGAAUCGAGUCCAAAUUUUGAUUUUUUCCUUCUGAUUUUUCGGUUAUUAAGAAUGUGCAAGUGUUUUUGUCGGUUAGAUUAAUAUUGGUUUUUGUUCAUCCGUGUAAAAUAUAUAUUAAGUUAUAUAUAUGGAUUCCCUAGUUGAUUUACACGAGAAAUAAAGUUUAAUCGUCGUUAGUCGCGGCCAAAUAUUGAUCCGGUCGAGAGGGUGGAGGGUGAUAUUCCCGGUGAAAGGAA